GGGUAGAGGACGAAAAGGGCACAAAUGAGGGUAGUGACGGAGAUGAAGGUGGACAUGGUCGACAUCGAGAGGGAGGGAGAGGGAAAGGCAACACCAGUAGUAGCAAACUAGGUGGAGUUCGCAAGUGAAUACAGUAGUUUUUAUUGGGAAUGAAUGCCACAGAGCCGAUCUAGGUAGGGGAGAGUUAGCUCGUCUUACAUUUUUUCUUAUUUUUUUAUAAAAUCACCAAGAUUUUUGGUUGCCUUCAUUGUGCCAUUUGCGAUAAAUCUGGAUGGAAAAUUUUCUGCUCGUCUUUCUGCUGCUUCAUCGAGAGGGCGAAAUAGGGGAGGCAUGAGUAGAGGAUGGCCCUGGUAACAUCCUCACUGGAAACCGUGGGGGGAAGAGGGAGAGGGAGAGAGAUCGAGCUCGGAGCCCGCUUACUAGAGAUGGCGGCGGAGGUGAGAGCUUGGCCAUGAAACAGAGAGGAAAAAGGAACCUUUUUGAAUGUCGAAUACGAUGGCUAGCAGCAACCGAUAGCCACUCAAGGAGGAGGGAUAGGGUUAGGGGUGGCAAUCGGGUCGGGUCAGGCAUAAACAGGUCGGGUCAAA
rnacentral:lncRNA from 1 species